UUUGUGUGGUAAAGCUUUUCCGAAUACGUGCCAACACACAAAAUCAGCUUCAGCUAUGACGUUUGUUUUCUAUAUACAUUUGUCUCCAAAUAUAUUAUACCCAAUUCUUACAAUGUAAUAUGUCUAAUUACAAUGUAACAUAACAUAACUGUUGCUUAAUAUGUUUUUUGUGUUUCUUUUUUAAUCCAUUGGAUAUAUUUGCUGCUGGUACGGAUACAACAUAUACAGCUUUAGAGUGGAUAAUGACAGAGCUUUUAAGGCAUCCAAGAGCCAUGGAAGAAUUACAGAAUGAAGUGCGACAAUUAGCCCAAGGAAAAUCAGAGAUAACAGAGGAUGACUUAGGAAAUAUGCAGUAUCUGAAAGCAGUGAUUAAAGAAACUCUCAGACUUCAUCCACCGGUUCCACCGCUACUCCCUCGAGAAUCAAUAGAAGACGUAGAAUUGCUACGCUACCACAUACCUGCUAAAACUCAAGUCAUUGUCAAUGCUUGGACAAUCGGAAGAGAUCCUUUGUCGUGGGAAAAUCCGGAGGAGUACCGACCAAAGAGGUUCUUGAAUAGUAAUAUUGAUGUCAAAGGACUAAAUUUUGAGUUGAUUCCCUUUGGAGCAGGCAGAAGGGGCUGCCCAGGAAUUGCUUUUGCUAAUGUGGUAAAUGAGCUAGCAAUAGCAAGGCUUGUACACAAGUUCAAUUUUGCAUUACCAGAAGGGAUAAAAGGGGAGGAUUUGGAUAUGACUGAAGGCACUGGCAUCACUAUUCGUAGGAAGUCACCUUUGGUAGCAGUGGCCACUCCUUGCUCUAUCAAUCUUUUGGUGGCAGGGAUUUGGCAGACUCCGACUAUGUAUCAUUACAAAAAAGGAGGGACACUUAAACUUGAGAGUAGACAUGCCUACUUUUUACAAAAGAUCCUUCUUGUGCGGAGUAUGAAUUAGAGUGUGUCUACAAUGAUUUAAAACUAAAUUAGGAGCUAGAACUCCUCCUUUAUACAGGUGCCAGGGAGGCCUAUACUAACAUUACCCUUCACAACAUCAAUAAUCAACUGCGAGUCGCUUUCCAACAAGAUCCAGGUACUUCGACUCAGCCCUACUAUCCUUGAGGCAAGGCGAUUCUCCAGAGACUUCGAGGUAUAUCUGCCGCGUCCGCAGACCGAGGAGUCACUUUCCAUUCUCUCUCAUAGUAUUAACCCUUCUGUAUUUACUUUUGUUUAGACAUUCUGGAGUUAGACACUUGUAGUUAUUCAAUAGCUUAUGAUUUCAUGAGA